UCCAGCCUACGGGAGGCAGCAGUGGGGAAUAUUGCACAAUGGGGGAAACCCUGAUGCAGCAACGCCGCGUGAAGGAAGACGGUUUUCGGAUUGUAAACUUCUGUUCUUAGUGAAGAAAAAUGACGGUAGCUAAGGAGCAAGCCACGGCUAACUACGUGCCAGCAGCCGCGGUAAUACGUAGGUGGCAAGCGUUGUCCGGAAUUACUGGGUGUAAAGGGAGCGCAGGCGGGAAGGCAAGUCAGCUGGGAAAACUACGGGCUUAACUUGUAGACUGGAGUUGAAACUGGUUUUCUUGAGUUAAGUAG
rnacentral:rRNA from 1 species